AUCCCUGUAAGGGGAGAUGCAGGGAGCCAUGCCGAAUGAUGCUUGGAUUCAAGUCUCUUUGUACCUUCUCUACCCAG
ensembl:miRNA Mir6898 microRNA 6898